GAAAUGCGAUAAGUAAUGUGAAUUGCAGAAUUCAGUGAAUCAUCGAAUCUUUGAACGCACAUUGCGCCCGCCAGUAUUCUGGCGGGCAUGCCUGUUCGAGCGUCAUUACAACCCUCAGGCCCCCGGGCCUGGCGUUGGGGAUCGGCGGAAGCCCCCUGCGGGCACAACGCCGUCCCCCAAAUACAGUGGCGGUCCCGCCGCAGCUUCCAUUGCGUAGUAGGUAACACCUCGCAACUGGAGAGCGGCGCGGCCACGCCGUAAAACACCCAACUUCUGAAUGUUGACCUCGAAUCAGGUAGGAAUACCCGCUGAACUUAAGC
rnacentral:misc_RNA from 1 species